GUGGAGACACAGCCAAACCAUAUCCCUUUUAUAUGAAAAUCCAGGUGGGCAGAUUUUUCUCUCAGCAGCUGUUCCCUGCAGAGUCUCCUUGCAGAGCCUUUCCUUGGACUUUCCAAAUCCAGCCCUUGGCUAAGGACUGACAGCAUCUCUCAGGCAGACCACUGCCUGCCCCUACCCUGUGCAGCUUCCUCCCACACAGCCUCACCCACAAACCCACCUUUCUCCACAGCCACAAACUCCGAUCUCUGCCUUCUUAGAGCAGAGAGGCCAUUCCUCUCCACGUGGUCUCACCUCCCUGCACCCUAACUGAAACCUGGGAGUGAGGGGAAAGAGGAGCUCAGGUCAUGUGCCUCCCGCCUCUCAAGGAUGGCAGCCUUGCGCUGGCUGUAGCAGAAUACCGGAAAAGAUCUGCCUAAGGUGGUUAAUCUGUGUGCGGGCAGGUGGGCUGAUGCAGAACCCCCUGUGGCUGGAGCAGGUCUUCACCGGUCAAGGCACAUCCAGGUUGAUUCCUCUUCUGGAGGCUUCACAAUACCUGCUCCAGGAGUGGCUCAUCCAGUCACAAAGCUCACCUCCUCUCCCUCCUCCAGGAAGAAUUCCAGUGCCAUAUUAUUUCAUUUCCACUCCACAAAUCCAACAUAGUUAAUUGGGUUUGAUAUUAAUGAGCUUGUACAGCUAAAACAUGGAAAUAUAAUAACUACUGUUGAUCGAUCUUUCAGCCCCGUCACGAAGGGCCCUCGUAACUGGACCUCAUGCCAAACAACUCGUUACAAAAAGAGCUAGGGUCUCAGACCACGCAGAAGCUUCAUGAGACCCCUCCUUGUCUGCAUGGACAAGUGGUCGACUCUGGAUCCCAAGAUGUUGCUUCCCAGUUUGGUGGUGAAUCCUCCAUAGUCUGCUAACUGAAAGGCUCAACACUCCAGUGAAGAAGAAACCACAAAUGAUGAACAAAUGUUUUGUCACUCUUUCAGAUUCAGAAAUUUUGCUUGAAAAAAGUCUGAAGAAACUAAUUUAGGAAAGAAACCUCUGCCAAUAACUCUAAAGAGUUUGAAUUGGUUGCCUUUAUUCCUAACACUAUGAUGUUUUGGGAUAGGAACUAGUAGAUGGUAUUUUUUCUUUCCCAUUGGCAGUAUAUCAUUUACAACAGAUGUUCCCGACUCAGGAUAAAAUGUAACUGGCAGCCAGAGUCACCCACCAGCCCCUGAGGAAAGGGCUCAACCUUGAGAACAUCUGGCUGGCUUCAAGAAGGUCACACAAAUACAAGAUGAUGCUGAGGAUAAGACAAGUGGUUUUGAGAGAGGAAAACCUUUAAAAAUAUUUGGAAGAGUCCUGAAGACCAAUAAAAUAAAGACACUGCAAUACUUCAUGGACACCAGAGAGCAAUUUAACACUGAAAUGAAAGCAACAUGUUGCACCUGAACACUGAAAAAAGCCCAUGUGUUAAGAGGAAGAAGAAAUAUGCAAUUCACUGCAAUAAAUAUUGAACCUUUAAAAAACAGAAGGAACAUGAAAACUAAAGGACACUGGGCCACAGCAAAUAAGGUGGCGGCAGCCAUCCCAUAAUGAUUACAUGAUCUCCAUGAUUGUAAAAUGUAUAUGCCACCUGAAUUUAUUCUUAGACCUUCUCUCAAAGAUGUCUGCAUUCAACACAGGCAAUAACUGCAGGUAAUAGUGAAGAAUCCUUCAGGCAUGAUAGAGGAACAGACUAAGUGUGGGAAAAGGAAGAACUAGGCCGGGCGCGGUGGCUCACGCCUGUAAUCCCAGCACUUUGGGAGGCCGAGGCGGGCGGA
rnacentral:lncRNA from 1 species